CUUAACACAUGCAAGGUCGAGGGGUAUAGUUCUUCGGAGCUAGAGACCGGCGCACGGGUGCGUAACGCGUAUGCAAUCUACCUUUACAGAGGGAUAGCCAGAGAAAUUUGGAUUAAUACCUCAUAGUAUGUGAGAAUCGCAUGGUUUUCACAUUAAAGUUCCAACGGUAAAAGAUGAGCAUGCGUCCCAUUAGCUAGAUGGUAAGGUAACGGCUUACCAUGGCGACGAUGGGUAGGGGUCCUGAGAGGGAGAUCCCCCACACUGGUACUGAGACACGGACCAGACUCCUACGGGAGGCAGCAGUGAGGAAUAUUGGACAAUGGGCGCAAGCCUGAUCCAGCCAUGCCGCGUGCAGGAUGACGGUCCUAUGGAUUGUAAACUGCUUUUGUACAGGAAGAAACACUCCCUCGUGAGGGAGCUUGACGGUACUGUAAGAAUAAGGAUCGGCUAACUCCGUG
rnacentral:rRNA from 1 species